rnacentral:miRNA from 1 species
GGGUGGAUACUUACCAACAUA